GGAUGCGGUCAUACCGGCACUAACGCAUCGUAUCCCAUCAGAACUAAAAAGUUAAGCGUGCUUGGGCGAGACUAGUACUAAGAUGGGUGACCCCCUUGGAGGUCCUCGUGUUGCAUCCC